AACAUUUUAGCUUCGUUGUUUAUUCAGUGUAGAAGCCUUUUUAUGAAUACUUUUUGGGGGUUCAAGAAUAAAACAAGCAGAGAAAACACUUAUUCCAUUGUACUCAUAUGGUCACUGGAUGUCCCAGAGAUCUAAGAUACAAGUUGAUAUGACAUACGGCUCCUCUGUUUGGUUCUGAGCAGGGAGGACAAUGUAUGUCACCAAUAGUUAUUUUUUGGAGUAAUUUGCUCAUUUCACUGUACUCCACUGUCAAUGUCCAAAGCAUUCAAGUAAGUAUGUUCAGUCAUGGAUACCUCAUGCUGUCUUCCUGCUGCUUUCUGAUCAAAAGUGCAUCUGCCAAAUCCUGUGAUGGCACUAAUGGAUGUCAUGGUUUCUGGUUAUCGGUGUUCCACAUUGUAAUAUCAUGUAGUGCACUGGGAGUUAAAGAGUUAAUGCUCCAGUUCUGGGUACCUGUCCCAGAAGAGAAGAAGAACUACAUACCCCAGGGGACUUUGUGUUCAGAGAGGAGAUAAAAUCCCUGGCAAAGUCACAGGAUCUGGCUCUCCUUCCUUCUGCUCAUCCCGACCACACAUCUCAUCUCAGCAUUAGAGUAAAGCCUUCAGUUUUCAAACCCUCCCUCUCAUUUAAUUUGGUUUAUUAGCUUCAGUUCUAAUUAUAUUGUAUUAUAUUGUAUUAUAGUGUGUUAUCUUGCAUUCUUAUUUAGUUAGUUUGUUUCUCCUCAGAUUGUUGCCGCCGUUUUAAAUGUAUGGGUUUGCCAAAGACAAAUUCUUUCCUCUAAUUUCUCAUCAUUUAAAGUACUCAGAUUAAUUAUUGCCACAUAGAUCAGUUCUUUGGGUACAAAUGUUCACCCUAGGAGAAAAUCAAAAUUAGCUUUGAAACUACUGGUACAUAAACUAUGCAAUUGCAUUUUUCAAUAACAUAGCACAGUUCAAAUUUAAUUAUUUGCAUGUUAGCUCAAAGUUAGCAGAAAAUAAAAAGGCUACCAGUUUGAAUUUUAAUGUAAAUGCACAGUCAGAAGACUUGGUGUUACUCAUCCUUCUCUGUAAAAUAAAUUUACUUGACAUUACAUCUUUACAUUGCUAUAGCUCAGACUGAUGCCACAGUAAUAGAGGCUGUUGAAUAUUUUACAAUAUUUCCUGUUUCUAGAAGUCACUAUUGAAGGGUAUACGCUGAAAACAUUGUGAUCUUCCUGGACAACAAGAAUAUUACCUGUGAUUCCUUGCAGUCUGGGGACCUGGAAGGGGAUUGAGCACCCCAGAAAAGGGUGCAAAGGUUGGAGCCCUCAAGGUAAUGAGCCACGGGCUGGGGAAGCAAUGCACGAAGGAGCAAAAAUGCCUAGGUGUGUCAGGCCCGACGGUAAGGGUCCUAUCAUCAGUUACAAAAGGAGAAACAAAAAUGUGGUCAAUAGUAACAGUCUCUACUGUGUUACCUGGGUUGUGGGUUAACUGCUUCAUGUUCUUCCCUCUCAGAAACUUGUACUUCAGUAUGAUAUGGCACAAGGUUUUAUUUGUGUGCCAGCCCACAUCAGCCCCUGCUGGGGCCUAACUGCAGAUUGUAGUGUCAGUGCUCUGCUUUUUCUCACCUUGGUCUUAAAGAGCCUAAAGCACACACGUCCUUUUGCUUUGCUUUCUGCUAUACUGUGAUCUCAUUCGCCUCUCUUGGAGCUCUCUGGAUUACGUAAAAUUAACUCAUUACCUCUGUGUCAUGAGAUGUAAAAUAACAAUGCAGUGCCAUUCUUAAAAAUCACACCAUGGAAUUAAAAGACAGGCAGACAGCUGCCAGCACCAAAUUGCCCUUGGACUGCAGUUUAAAUGUAGUUUAAAUAUCAGAAAAGAUGUUGUUUUUUUUAAAGACUGUGGGUAAGCUACAGCUUGGCCAUUUGUCUCAGUGUGAGUUAUUUUGGAACAAGCCAGAAAAUAAGCAGUAAUUGGAGCCACUCUUCCUUCAUUGAUUACUCUCUCUGACUUCUAAGUGUAGCCGGCAGAGAGGAGGGGAAGGAGAACAAAGUCAUUAUGUUGUUUUUGUGCAGAACCUGGGCUGUGUUGGUCUGUGAUGGAUGCACUACUCACAGCAUGAUAGGAGCCCACUCUCCUCUGCCUGAUCUCUCUGAUCUGAGGCAAUUCAGCAGCAGGGUCUUCUUCCUUUUGCUUCUCAGGAGUGGGGAUGUUAGAAAAACACUUCAUAAAGACAAGGUAAGGGGCCUGCUGCAACUACAGGACUGAUGUGUGUCUGAGGUUAGACUUUUGUGUGAUCCAACACAGACUUGGCAGCAGUUCAUCCUCUCCCAGCAUCACUCCAUGUGCCAUAGCCUAAACAAUGGGAUCCAUGCCAGUAGACUCCUGUACCAUACUUAUUUGUCUGCACGUCUGCUGUGCAGCUCAAGGCUGUAACAGUCUCACUUAAGGUUGAUAAAGGAGAUAAAUACCCCUGACAGGUGUGCAGCAGCCUGCCGGCACACCGACACACAUCAGCCUUGUUUGCUGUAUGAGUGCCUUCCUUAAGGACUGAACUUCCCUGCAGGUCAGGUGAACUGAACACCGCAGUCUUUCCUGCUGCUGGCCUGUGGCUGUACUGGGAGAAGGUCUGCAGGGAAGUACAGAACUGGGACCACAAAAGAGGACCGUGAAUAUAGCAUUUCUCCCAGACCCUCCCUCGGGAGUGGGCAUCAAAUCGCAUCCAAAGUUCCUCGGAAGAGGAAGACGGGCGGAGGUUUUGUAACGGGUCCGACAACAAGCGAGCAGAAAGGGCAACCACGUACGUAAUGGCACAGGCAAGCAGCGCUCCGGGCACGGAGGCAGCGCGGCAUGGGGGCAGCCCUGGAGUUAGUGCGGCGAGGACAGAUAGCUUCAAAGAUCAGCAACAUAAGCUUCCCUCUUUUGACCGACCUCCUUUUCAUCCUGAAGACACUCCGAAUGAGAACUCUUUCUUGGCCAAAGGUAAUGAUCCCUGCUUUGGUUGUAACUCAGCAUUACAUUCUGAUUAGAGCACAGAAUGUGAGUAUCAAGGACUAACUUCAGUAAUUUAUGGUUAUUUUUGAAAUUCAAAACACGUCUCGAGAAUUCCCUAAGAUCUUUACUAAUUCAGGCUGUCUCUGGUGAAGGGCUUUGCUCUUAGUCCUUCAGCCCUUCUGAGACUGUUAAUGGAAAUCUCCUAGCUUAUUGCCAAAUAGAUUUCUUUGAUGGCUAAAUAAAGAUCCAGGAAUUUCAGUUCUCUUACCCCUGUUUAUUUCAUUUCCCAAAUCAGUUUAAUUGUGGGAUUUGCUUUUUGAUCUGUCAGCACACAUGGAUGUGUGCCAUGAGUUUUAGCACAACACAUGUAUAAUAUAUGGCUGGAAAGGCUGUGCUUGCCUUUCCUUCUCUAGCAAACAGUAUAUAGUGGUGUUAAUCCAUCUCAGGGGUACUGCUCUUUUGCUCUGCUCCACACACCUGUUCUAGCUUAGCGUGCAGUCUUGCUUUUCACAUCUUGGAGAGUGCGGUGAAAUCCUAUGAUUCUUUACAGUCUGCCUAGCUCAAAUCCCCUGGGAUCACAUAGCAAAGAAAAAAAGCUGUUCCUUUGCUUAACUUCCAGACUCCUGGAGGAAAUCAAGAUGUGCAAGAUCCCAAAGCUGUUAGGGUGGUGAAAGUUAUGCGAGGGAGAGGAGAUAUUAUUUCCCAUGAUGAGGAGAUUCUGUUUUCAGGCACAACUGAAAUACUUUGUGGAUAUGCAAUUCCAAUAAAAAACAGCGAUUUAUAUUGCUUGUAAAUGAGUGGCAGUGAAGGGCCCUGCAAACACUACCUUGAACCUGAUGUCCUUGAAGACACUAACAUCAAGGGCAGACAAAGUCAAGUAGUGCGUGGACUGCUUGAUGUGAAAAGCGCCACUGGAUGACCACCUCCAAAGCAACUGCGGAUACUUCUCUCUAUGUGCACUUUAAAUGAAUGCCUGGUAAACCAGAACAAGUCCAGAGCUGUUUAAUCAUGAACCAGAUGGAUCAGAUGGGAUUGCCAGAGGUUUCUUACAGCACUUCCAACAGGUUGCCCUGGGCUAUAACCAGGUGAGUUCUGAGUAUACCUGAAGUGAGGGGUCCCAUAGCCCUCCCCAGGCAGCACAUCCCAGCACUUGAUGACCCAGGAUUAUGUUUUGGUGUGGAUCGUAAGCUAGACUUAAGAUGGUUUGUAUUACAUAAAUUAGUUACCUGAACUUUAAAUCUUAUGUUCCUAUUUAAGGUGAGCCUACAAAAUAAACCUUUACUGUGAAUACAUAUAUGUACCAAGGUGAAAUGCAGAUUGUAUAGCUGAAGAGCUUGAAAAAAAAAAAAAUCUGCUGGACAUAUGUUGUUUCUGCUGGAAAUCACACUUGCAGAGAAACUGUAGGGUGUAAGAUAUUUGAUAUGCAUAGCUUUCCUCUGGCAGUAUCUGUUUAACCAUCUUUACUGUCAGAAAGUUGUCCUGAAGAAUUCCAUCCAACAUGGGUUUUUCAGAGGGAAUAAUAAGCAGUUCUGCAGCACCUCAGAAAUUUACUAGUUCUCAUAGCAAAAGAAAGUUCUGUACACACUACCCAGACUCCAAGCAGUAAUGACUUUUGUUUCAUAGAAACAUGGUUGCAGUCGCAAGAUGAGGAAAGAGUUGUCAGUCUUCGUCCAUAAACUGUCCAUCAUCAGAUUUGUCAGAUGUUUGAUGGACAUCAACAAGGCAGAAGAAGUUCAUCAGACACUGCUCUCUUUACUUCACUUACAAAGAAACCAUUUCCCCUCGAGCAGUACCUCUGACAGUAGUGUUGUGCUGACAGUCACUCACUUGAGCCAAGGUCGGCCAAACCUUACUCACACAGAUGUUCUUGGAGUGAGUCGGGUUUUGUGGCAUGGAGCAUUCUACCCAACACUGACAACUGUUUGAAAAUAAAAUGAAAAUAAAAACAAUAACACCUGAAAACAUGAACUCAAGAAAGAAAAUGUCUUGAAUUUCUUUGUGAUGCCAACCAAGGCUAUGGAGUAAAAAAUUGUUCAGGACCAAGAUUAUUUUUUUUCUUGCUUAAAAGGCCUGCACAGAAGUGAUGAAGUAGUGUUUAGAAUGAAACUUCUGGUUCCACAGAUCUGUAAAUAUUUUGGAAUACAUUUAUUAAUCAUCCUUUGUUCUUGUUCCCUUUUACUUAAGAUUCAGUCUUCAGGUUCAGUUCAGCCUCUUUCUCCCCCUUUCUUAAAUGCAGUCCUAAGAAAUAUCUGUAUGCAUAAACAAGUGUAAUCAAUCUUAGACAACUAAGGUGAUAAAUUCAAGACAGUGGGGAACGGAGAAAUUGGUGGAUUUGUAAAGUAUCAGCUUCAAGUUGCUAACAGCAGUACUUCACAGCCAGUGAUGGUUAAACAAUCAGUUCAGUGCAUCUCAUUCAAAAAACUAACACCGCUAAAGGCUCAACUCAAUUGCCUGUUUGGCUGAUUGAAUUCUGCACUGUUUCAGAAUAAGACAGGGCUGCAGAGCUGAGCACUGUUUUAAAUGUGGUCUGCUCAAAGCAUGUCAUGCACGGCUUUAGCUGGUCCAUUCCAAGAAAGGUAAACGUAAUGUCCAGUAGUUCAGCCAAGAAAUGUCAGGUUACCCGCUGAAUAUCAACACAGCUAUUUUUGUUUAUCCUAAAGUCUUUAAGUCGCUAAUCACAUAUUUUUUGUCACUGCUUCAAUCAGUGCCCCAAACUCGCCAUGCUUAUGCAAUAUGUAAAUUCUUAGUUUUUCUCUUUUUUCUUCCAGAUGUACUUUGCAGUUUCAUUCAUUCACUUUCCCAACGUGCUCUCUUUUCUCUGCAGAGAAUAUAGAAAUUUCCAUUUCUUGACAGAGUUUUCCAUGAUACUCUCAUCACUAGACCUUGACAGGAGCUACUCAACUUUUAUGAAGAUCUACUUUCUGUCACCUGGCAUUCACAGAGGCUGGCCAAACAAUGAAUUAUCUUGAAAAACACAUGAGGAAGAAACAAUUUACUCUAUUUUUGUUGUUGUUGCUUGCUUGCUUUUUUUUUUCUCUUCAAAUUCAAAAAAUCCUAUUGUCUUUCGUGCACUCCUUUUGUGCACUCUGUCACAGUUUGAGUACUUCUGAAGGACAUCUGUUAGAGUAUGGAUGCAGCAAACCUUCACAGUCCUUUUCUCCAACUGUAGACAUGCAGCUCAGACAUGAAAUGUUUGAAAGUUUCAACUGCUCCAUCUUCCUCCUUGCUGGUACGCUGACAGGAUGCUUUCCAUUGCAGUCACCACAUGCGCUAGCAGAGUGGAACUUUGACAUCCUGUUUUCAACCAACACUCAUGUAUGAGAAUCAGUUAAGUGUGUUGGCCUAGCUUCUUCCCAAGACUUAGAGAGAACUCUAAUACUUUCACGAACAGACUUGUCUCUCACUCAGAUCCGAACUGGCAGUUUUCUAAAUCAAUCCUUUUCUCUUUGUUAAUUGUCCAUCUUUCACACUCAUGCUUUGCAGAGAUUGAUGGAAUUUUAAUUGCUAAGGGUAUUUUAGGAUGGAGGAGAGGGGAUGGGAAGAAGCUUGGUGAAAAGUGGGUAGGAGUUGGUGUGUUUGGAAGGCUAACUGUUCUGAUUGCACACAGAGAGGGGAUCAGCAGCCAGAGCACCAUCUGUGCACACAGUUUAUCCAUGCAGUCUGGCUUCCUCACAGAGGAAUGUGUCAGCUGCUUUUCUAGAUCAGCUGAAAGCCUCCUUCAUGCUCGGAGCUUCAGUGAAAUUCUGCAGCUGUUCACUGAAGUCAGAUCUCAUAUCUCUGCCCAGUCUGGGUGGUACAGGUUUCCACUCAGAGGCAGGAAGCUUCUCUUCAGCUGCUUUUCAUUGUCACCUCAAAAUGAUCAUCUCAGUGUCAUGAAGAAUGGUGAGAGAUAUGUGAUCCCUCACAGAGGUGUAAGAGCAUCUCAAGGGGCUCUGUGUGAUUGUCUACGGCUGAAUAGUUUACAUCUGAGAUGGUUGAGCUGGACUUCCUUUUCAAUCAGGAGAGAACCGGUUAAUCUGGUCAGCGGCGUUUAAAACAUGAUUCAUCUUCUCCUAAAACAGAUAUCUCUGCGUCUCUCUUUGUCGUGCACAACAGACUAUGGGAAUUGUCUGCAUGAAGAAGGUGGCCAAAGUAGCUGUCCCAGAAAACUUCCUGCUAUAUAGAUCCACUUCUCCUAAAUAUCAUUUACUGUGUUUCACAAUGAAUUGUCGUGAACAAAACUGUCAAACAAGGGGAAAAAAAUUAGUUAUUUUCAUAUGCAGUUCCAUAUUGACCUCCAUAUAAGUUAUUGUCAUGUUGGCAACCUUUCACUUUCAGCACAGCUUUCUAAUUCUAUAGUUAACUGUGUAGAUAAUGGCAGGUUUAGAUGGAUCUGCCAUCACACAAAAUCAACACCACACAUUCUUAUCAACAGAUAUCAAUGUAGGUACUCAGGAAAAGCAGAUUUCAGUAUAGUUUAUAUAGCUUAUUAAAGACCAUUCUGCUUCUGUAGAUCUCCACACAUCUCACUCUAGCCAUUACAUACAAAAAUUCUUACUUGUGGCUCUCUCCAGUUCAAUCCCCUUUAUUCCAAAGCUUCCCCGUGACUCCAGCAUUGAUUCCUACUAGUUAGCUCACUUCCAUCCCAUUCUAUUUUCAUUCAUUUAUUCUUCCCAGUUUAAUCUUAGGCACAACUUCUGUAUAUCUAUUUCUGUUAUUGAUCUCCCCUGCUAGGGAUAUCAUAUGCACUCUUUUUGAUUAUAAUAGCACAGUUUGUUCACCAUCAGAAAGCAAGAAAAUUGUGCUAGUGUUUGUAUGUGAGGAGAAGAGGGAGCUCUUCAUUUUUACCUUUGCCUAAAUACAAAAUUUGUGUGUAAAAUUUGGCAUUGUAAAUUUUUUUGCCACGUAAUUUUGCAUGUUUUUAGCAUUAUGUUCCAUUUCUUUCCAGAGCAAAUGUGUCUGGUCUACUUAGUGCAAAAGUAGUGAAUACCAUUAACAGGAAUUGAGAUAAAUUCUUGGGUAAUUUGUUAGAUUUUCUACCACCUUAUGACAUUCCAAAGAAAAUAACUUUAUGAAAAAGUCAAUUGUUUAACUGAUUUGACUUGUCAGAUUCAAAAGGCAGAGGCAAUGAACAAAAUGACCUUAUUUUUCCCCCAAACGGUCCCAGAACAUUUUAUCUUACACUGUCAGUACACUAAAUUUCAGUAUGGCCACUACAGCCUAACCUAGAGUUUUCCAAACAGCCUGAGGAAAUCAGCUUCCCCCUAAACCUAAUGGGAAUUGAGUAGCUGUCUUCUCAGCCACCACUGAAAAUACCAAUCUCAAAGUUUUAAAUUAUUUGUACUCUGGAAGAGGUUUGCACCUGAUAGUUUCUUGGUAAGUAUUAUUUCUGAGUGUUCAGCAACAAAGCAGAACAGACAUUCCCAUGUCAAGGAAGGAGUCCAAAAAAUAAAAAAUAAAAAAAUGAAGUUGUACAUAUCAAGGAGUUGCUUCUCCCCAGAAUGGAUUUGCUCCAAUAGCAUAUACAAUUCCCUCAUAUCUUACAAGUCUAACUGUGAAAUGUGCAGAGCAUAGUAAAGAAAAAGAUCUACUGAGUUAAAAAUAAGCGUGAAUCUGCCUAACCUCUGCAUAACUACAGGUAUAAGUGGGAACUGCUACUGGGAAUUUCAGUAGCAUACUUUUGGUCUAGUUUGUGGUUGUGUGGUCUAAAAUUACAGAAAAAUUAGCAGUGUAAAGAGUCUCAUUUGCAAACCAUUUACUUGUUCUUUUGGAGACAUUUGGCAUUUUUAAUAUCUUGUGCCUGGAAACAUGUGGCCUACAGCUUACUCCUUGAGACCUCAGGGCUGCUAAGCAAGCAACUCCCAGGAACGUAGGGUUGAAAGGUCAGUGAGUUUUGCAUCUUGCAGAUGUAUUUGCAUCUUGCAGAAAAGAAGUGGGACCUUGCAGAAAACCUGUCCUUUCCAUGUGCUAGGUAAAACUGAUGGCGGGCUUGUUUUCUUGGAGUAACCUGCUGAUGAAAUGGCCACAGUGUGAUUCUGGAAAGAGGAAGAAUUAAGAUCUGCACAACUCUAAUUCCAUUUUAAAGAAACCUUUGCUCCGGAAUGGGUGCCUCCAGGAGUUGCUGUCCUGGAAAGUGUUCCUCUUAGAAACUCUCCUAGCAUAAACUGACUCUU